UAACAGCUCAAAUUUGAAAUCUGGCUCCUCUGGAGUCCGAGUUGUAAUUUGUAGAAGAUGCUUUGGGUUGUGGGUUCGGCCUAAGUUCCUUGGAACAGGACGUCAUGGAGGGUGAGAAUCCCGUAUGUGGCCGAGGCCCGCGCCUAUGUAAAGCUCUUUCAACGAGUCGAGUUGUUUGGGAAUGCAGCUCAAAAUGGGUGGUAAAUUUCAUCUAAAGCUAAAUAUGGGCCAGAGACCGAUAGCGCACAAGUAGAGUGAUCGAAAGAUGAAAAGCACUUUGGAAAGAGAGUUAAACAGUACGUGAAAUUGUUGAAAGGGAAGCGCUUGCACCCAGACUUGGGCGCUGCUGAUCACCUUGCGGUCUCCGCGAGUGCACUCGACAGCGCACAGGCCAGCAUCGGUUCGGGUGGCUGGAUAAAGGCCGUAGGAACGUAGCUCCCUUCGGGGAGUGUUAUAGCCUACGGUGCCAUGCAGCCCAGCCGGACCGAGGACCGCGCCUUCGGGCUAGGAUGCUGGCGUAAUGGGUGUAAGCGACCCGUCUUGAAACACGGACCAAGGAGUCUAACAUCUAUGCGAGUGUUUGGGUGGUAAACCCAUACGCGGAAUGAAAGUGAACGUAGGUGAGAACCCCUUUGGGGCGCAUCAUCGACCGAUCCUGAUGUCUU
rnacentral:rRNA from 1 species